AUAUCCUUUGCUUACUGAAAAGAUAAGUCGUCUCCUAUGGUGUUUUAGCUGUUAACCUUUCAUCUUGGAGGCUCUUGUAGUUAAUUAAGGAACAUUAGAAGAACUCCGGAUACCUUUAAAUUAUGAAAUUAUGGAGCAUUGGUUGAAUUAGUUCUCAUUUGUCCUGCAAGGUAGCUGUGCUCAUGGUUCUAAAGAAAGCAUGAAAGUGCCUUUUUUUUUCAUUGGGAACGAAGACAGUGUGCUGAAAAGAGGAUUUAUGACAAUGAACUGAUAUAACAGUAUCAGUUAAAAAUAAUUGCUGUCCCACAAAUGAGAACGAAUUGCAGUUAAUUUUGGUGCUACUAAAACAACUGAUGCUUUUGACGUCUUCACCUUGC